UACGAAGGUCCCGAGCGUUGUUCGGAUUUACUGGGCGUAAAGCGUCUGUAGGCGGCGCGGCAAGUCAGAUGUGAAAGCCCGGGGCUCAACCCCGGAACUGCAUCCGAUACUGCCGUGCUGGAGGAUCGGAGGGGAGUCUGGAAUUCACGGUGUAGCAGUGAAAUGCGUAGAUAUCGUGAGGAACACUAGUGGCGAAGGCGAGACUCUGGACGAUUCCUGACGCUGAGAGACGAAGGCCAGGGGAGCGAAAAGG
rnacentral:rRNA from 1 species